UUCCUACGGGAGGCAGCAGUGGGGAAUUUUGGACAAUGGGCGCAAGCCUGAUCCAGCCAUGCCGCGUGUAUGAAGAAGGCCUUCGGGUUGUAAAGUACUUUUGUCAGGGAAGAAAAGCCUGAGGAUAACACCCUCAGGUCAUGACGGUACCUGAAGAAUAAGCACCGGCUAACUACGUGCCAGCAGCCGCGGUAAUACGUAGGGUGCAAGCGUUAAUCGGAAUUACUGGGCGUAAAGCGUGCGCAGGCGGUUUUGUAAGUCUGAUGUGAAAUCCCCGGGCUCAACCUGGGAAUUGCAUUGGAGACUGCAAGGCUAGAAUCUGGCAGAGGGGGGUAGAAUUCCACGUGUAGCAGUGAAAUGCGUAGAUAUGUGGAGGAACACCGAUGGCGAAGGCAGCCCCCUGGGUCAAGAUUGACGCUCAUGCACGAAAGCGUGGGGAGCAAACAGGAUUAGAUACCCUGGUAGUCC
rnacentral:rRNA from 1 species